UACGUAGGGCGCAAGCGUUAUCCGGAAUUAUUGGGCGUAAAGAGCUCGUAGGCGGUUUGUUGCGUCGGCUGUGAAAUCCCGAGGCUCAACCUCGGGUCUGCAGUCGAUACGAGCAAACUAGAGUGUUGCAGGGGAGACUGGAAUUCCUGGUGUAGCGGUGAAAUGACGCAGAUAUCAGGAGGAACACCGGUGGCGAAGGCGGGUCUCUGGGCAACAACUGACGCUGGAGGAGCGAAAGCGUCGGGAGCGAACAGG
rnacentral:rRNA from 1 species